rnacentral:rRNA from 1 species
AUACGGAGGGUGCAAGCGUUAAUCGGAAUUACUGGGCGUAAAGCGCGCGUAGGCGGUUUGAUAAGUCGGAUGUGAAAUCCCCGGGCUCAACCUGGGAAUUGCAUUCGACACUGUCAGGCUAGAGUGUGGUAGAGGGAAGUGGAAUUUCCGGUGUAGCGGUGAAAUGCGUAGAUAUCGGAAGGAACACCAGUGGCGAAGGCGGCUUCCUGGACCAACACUGACGCUGAGGUGCGAAAGCGUGGGGAGCAAACAGGAUUAGAAACCCCAGUAGUCC